AGGCAGGGCGGACAUGAAUGCAAGAGGUUAGUUAGCCAUAGCUUGGCCAGCACUUGACGGACUCCGCGAACUGCCGUUCAAAAUAUCCGGACGGUAACUUUGUCGGACCGUUCCCGGAUUUGAUUACGCGAGCACCGAAGGCGGAUAUCCGCCGACGGCGUUGCACUUGCUUUUUCCGGCCGGGAACGCGGAAUUUCAGACUCGACAGGACCGCAACGCAAGAAGUCUGCCGAUUUAUCCGAUCGCGCUGCAUUUUGUUUUUAAAUCGCACCGAUCGCAGAGCUAGCGGCUUCUUCGCUUUCAAUCGCGCGUCACUAAUGCGUCAUGACUCGACGCAGAAAGUGAAAUCGGCCAUAUUUCGGAAAGUGGCAAUGGCCGCCUACGACGUACGAGUCUGUGCGACGGUCAGCUAGCCGGCUAAGCUAGCCUUAGCUAGAGCUAACUUCGGUGCGUUUGAGCGAAGACGACGCGAAGCCGGGGACUCUCCACAUGGAAGCGGGAAGAGGGCGCGAUGCCGGUGCCUCUUUUGAGGCCGUGCUGGACAAAAAGUUACUCAGUGUGACCAACACAAUGGAUUCCAUUCAAGGGCUGUCAGCGUGGUGCAUCGAGUACAAGAAGUACCACGGCAUGAUCGUGCGACAGUGGAUCAAGUGCUUAAAGAAAUCUGCCACCGCACACCAGCUCAACCUGUUUUAUCUCGCCAACGAUGUCAUUCAGAACUGCAAAAGGAAAAACGCUUUGGUUUACCGCACCGCAUUUGCUGACGUGCUCCCCGAGGCUUUUGUGCUGAUCAAGCAAGAAGGUGAUGCAAAGGUGGUGAAAUCGGCGCAGAGGAUCCUGACCAUCUGGCAGGAGAGAAGCGUGUAUUCCGACGCUCUGAUUGCCGAGCUCAGGGCCGGCUUGGUCAAGGAGGAGUCUCCGCCGGCGACGCCCGCCGAGCAAAAAACUCCGGUUGAGUCCAAGUCAGAUCUGCGGUCCAAGAUUGUCGCGGAAUUUGUGCCCCAGUCCUUGAUCGACCACCUGUCCAAGUACAAGAGGUCGUUGGAGGAUGUGGACCUCCGAGAAAAGCAAUUGGCAGCCAUGAGGGUCGACAUCUGCAGUUCCGAAGCCCUCAAGAAGCUCAAAGAUAAGGCGGGAGGAAAGAAGUUCUCCCGGGACUUUGAAGAAGGCAAUACGCAGCUGCAAGAGUUUGUCAAGUUCUUCGACAGAGCAAACAAAACGGGGCCGCUUCUCCUGGAAGCCCUGAGCAACGCCGAUAUCUUCUACGAGCUGCAGUACAAAGAGGUCAAGAUCGUUGCCAACGCCUACCAGACGUUCGCGAACCGAGUGUCCCACUUGAAACGCAAGCUGGACAACCUCAAGGCCACCUUGCCGGACCUGGACGACUCGCCGAUCCCUUCGCCCUCCGCCGACGCGCCAUCGCCGACGGGGUCCGAAUCGCCUUUCCGCGACCUGGACCCGGCCGGGCUUUUCCCGGAGCCGGACGCCGCCGCGGCUACGGAGAAUGAAGCGGAACCUCCGGCCCCGAGCCCUCUGUCUUCGAUCGGAGAUUCACCGAAGCGCGUGUCAAAUCUCGCCGAGGAUAACGUGAACCGGGAAGUGGAAGAUAUGGAGCUGUCUGACGACGAAAUCGUCGGCGGUGGCAUCAUAGUUGAGCAGCAAAUGAAGAGCCCCGGCCCAAAAGUGGAGACGCCCCAUCCCGUGAGCCAAAACGCCGAGCCAUCGGUACCGUCUGAUGCGGCAGCAAGUUUGGAUACUGUUGACCUGGGCAAAAUAGGCUCCAUCCUCAGCAGUUUGAAUGCAGCCAUGAAAAGCACGGGACCACCGGCGGAGAGUCCGUCCGCGACCACGCCCUUCUCGUCAGCGGAGACGUUACGUCCUGCCUGUGAGGAGGCCACUUCUUUGGUUGACAUCCUGGCAAAGGUGGACAUGAGUCCCGCCGAUCUCCUGAGUGCUCUGUCUAAAGUCCAAGGCCAAGGUGGCCUCGAAGGCAUCGCGACUUUGCUGAGCAGCCCCACCGCAAAUGUCCAGGCGGAGUCUUCCGAUGCGGGCGAGGCUUCGGCAUCGGCUUCGGCGGCUCCCGAUCGGAGCGCCGCGGCCUCCCCCGCCGCCCCGGCGCCCUCUUUGCCGUUGGACACCACCGUGCCGCGAAGCGCCGCAGCGCAAACGCUCCCCGAGAGCGGGCCAACCGCUGCCCCGGCGCAAGACGGACCCGGCGCAACGGCUUGGACGGCCGACGUGGCGAAACCGGACAGCUUGGAAUCCAAAAUUCACAAUUUCCUGCACGGCAAUCCCGCUUUCAGCAACUUUGACCUGCGUUUCGCCCUGAACCUGCCCAAUCGGGUCGACGACUCGAGCCCCGUCGCGGGAGCCGACACGCGGGACGGGACGCCGGUGCGUGACGAAGGCGGAGGCACCCCCACCCAAGACGAGUUUAUGGACGUGACCAUGGGCCUGCCCGAAUCCCUGAGCGCAAAGCCCGAAAGUGGGAUGCUCCCGGCUCCCUUCGCCUUCCAGGAAAUUCCCCCCCGCAACCCGGGGGCCGGCGCCUCGCAAGGCUCCUCGCGGCCAGCUCAGAACGGGCAGUUGUACCAAGCGUACCCAUACGGUGAGGACAAGGCGUCGGAUCCCGCCGCGCCGUAUCCGCCCGUUUCUACUCCGGGCGGAGAUGCCGGGGCCGGCACGCAAACCGUGGAGGGCUUCCGGGGGCCGGGCGACCCGACUUGGUAUGGUGAGACGUACCCAGAGGGGGGCUUCCAGCAACCCACGGGCUACAACCCGCAGAUGCCCGCCGCCAACCAGGCAAGCGGGCCCUUUGAGUACCAAGUACAAGAAACUGAGGAACCUGCAAGCUUUCAGCAACCUUCAGACUUCUUCCGCAGUCUCCUUCCGCCUGUCCCCAAGUUACCACCCCCGCCGAACAUCCUCGACCAGCAGCAGGCGCCCCACGCCGACGUCGGCCAAGCCGGUCAGAGCGGCGGCGGCGGUUUGCCCAGGAUGGUGGUCCACGACCACGGACACAAGUCGGUUUUCCGUCCGCAGGAUUCCUUGUACGACGGCGGCGACGGGCCGCGCUCGGCCCCCGACCACCUGCGUUACCCAGAAGACCGAGAGCAUUACCGCGACGAUGUGCCCCCCCAGCCCGGCCCUCGCUUUCACGCCAGCCCUUACAACCGCCUUCAGGCCCCUUUCUACGAACGGGGCGGCCCUCGACAUAACCUCCCCAGAGGCAGGGCCCACUUUGCUUCUCCGCCCUCGCCCGCACCGGAUGCUUUCGGCAAUCCGGAUUACCAAAGCCCACCGCGCCCCCACUAUGCGCUCAGGCAUCCGCCGCCGCACCCCCAUUUGCAGAUGCGCCCCUCCGGCCCGCGACCUCCGCCUCGGCCCCCCCACCCUGGCCUUCCACACCCGUUUCCCAGGGGCCCCCCACGGGCACCGUUCCCUACUUUUCAUGAUCCAAGACUCAGGGGCAAACGUCCGUGUCCCAGGGGAGGUCUAAAUCCCGGACCCGUGUUUGCUCCCAAAAGACCUUUCCCACCCCCGCACUACUGACUGUGCUCCUGUCCUCCAUCUGGAGAGCCAAUAUAAAAUGGCUGAAGGGGGGCAAGUCACUCAGAGACUGACGAAGCGCCCGGUGAAGCAACAAUCGUGCCCAAAUCCGAGAAAAAAAAAAAAAAAGACUGACAACCAGAGCCACUGACUCCAUCGGGGAAGAAAGCAGAAGCUCCCAGAAGAAUGCUGAAGACAGAAGAGUCAAGAAAAUGAGAGGGCCUCCACAGCCACGCUUUGAAGUGUCACAUGCGAUGGGGAACCUUUUUCGGAACAUCUUCCCCCGAUGCAGGUGUGUUGUCGGCGGCGCGAUGGUUGCUUCCUCUUUCAGUCCCCAGCCUGUCACCUUCCAUCUUAAUUGCAUCACUUAUCCCACCAGCGAUGGAAUCAAAACAGAUUUUUUUAUUUGUGUGUGUGUACUGAAAUCAGGGUUUUGGUCACACAAUUGUAAGUAUGGAAAGUGCCAUUAAAUGAUCGAUUUUUUCCACUUGAGCCUUUUUUAUUUUAUUUUAUUUCAAUGAGCCCUCUGAAACACAAAACACUUGAGGUGCCACCCCUCCAAUGAAAGCUUCUUAAAUCAUUGUGAGGGUUUUUUAAAAAAUUGAUUGGCAAACAGCGGUCUGCGAGAACUCCCCUUUGUCAUAGUUUGCAUAUUUCAUGUAUUAUUUGGUAUAAAAAAACUUUCCAAGUUCCUUACACGUCGUGUGGUCCUGUACUCUGUUCCGUUACUCAAAGUGGACCGCGAUCCACAUCCUUGAAGGGUGGAUUCAGGUGUUCGCCUCGCCUAUACGCCGUUGCAGGCUUCUGAGGAUGCGGUCGCAAUGGCUGAUGAAACGUGAAGGAGCAAAUUGAUGGCCUGGGGGUCGGUGAGAGAGCCCAAGUCGACCGUGCGCUUGCUGCGGUCACGCGGCCCCCUUGUUUACGUGGGGCCACGUGGCGUUUCGGGAGGGUGCGUGAGUGACGCGUCAAAUCACAACUUAAGUGUUUUCAGCAUCACACGAACGGAUAGAAAGCGGCUCUUUGCUGUCUCGCCGCAUCGGAGAUGAUGAGUGCUCCCGGGUUUCCGAAGCCUUUCAGGACCACGGCCAGAUCCACGACCAGAACAAAAGACUGAUUCGCUUGGCUGGAUGUCAGGGAGCGUCCGGAAAUGUAUGGUCACCGCGAAGCGAAGAAUGAGAGUUGUAAACUGCUCGUCACGACCGUUUGCUGACUUUCUACACGUAUGGUUAAUACGUGAGCUUUUUUUUCUUGAUCUUGCCACUUCAAAUUAUAGCACAGAUUGUACACACGAGGGUCAGUCCUGAGUUGGCGGACUAUUCGUCCAAUUCAACCGUCACUGGUGAGAAAACAAAGUCAUUGGUUGGGUGUCAUUUGUUGAAAAUAUUUCACGAAGGUUGCCGAGUAAAUCAUAUACAACAAUCA